CCUACGGGUGGCAGCAGUGAGGAAUAUUGGUCAAUGGACGAGAGUCUGAACCAGCCAAGUAGCGUGAAGGAUGACUGCCCUAUGGGUUGGAAACUUCUUUUAUAAAGGAAUAAAACGAGGCACGUGUGCCUUUUUGCAUGUACUUUAUGAAUAAGGAUCGGCUAACUCCGUGCCAGCAGCCGCGGUAAUACGGAGGAUCCGAGCGUUAUCAGGAUGUAUUGGGUUUAAAGGGCGCGUAGAUGGGUUGUUAAGUUAGUUUGGAAAGUUUGCGGCCCAACCGUAAAAUUGCAAUUGAUACUGGCAGUCUUGAGUACAGUUGAGGUAAGCGGAAUUCGUGGUGUAGCGGUGAAAUGCUUAGAUAUCACGAAGAACCCCGAUUGCGAAGGCAGCUUACUAAACUGUGACUGACAUUGAUGCUCGAAAGUGUGGGUAUCAAACAGGAUUAGAUACCCUAGUAGUC
rnacentral:rRNA from 1 species